rnacentral:rRNA from 1 species
GGCUCAGGACGAACGCUGGCGGCGUGCUUAAUACAUGCAAGUCGAGCGGAAGUAUCUUGAAAGCUUGCUGAUAGAUACUUUAGCGGCGGACGGGUGAGUAACGCGUGGGCAAUCUGCCCUCUAGCCCGGGAUAACAGAGCGAAAGUUCUGCUAACACCGGAUAUGCUUACAGUGAGACAUCUCGCAGUAAGGAAAGUUCACACUAGAGGAUGAGCCCGCGUCCCAUUAGCUAGUUGGUGAGGUAACGGCCCACCAAGGCGACGAUGGGUAGCCGACCUGAGAGGGUGACCGGCCACACUGGGACUGAGACACGGCCCAGACUCCUACGGGAGGCAGCAGUAGGGAAUUUUCGGCAAUGGGCGAAAGCCUGACCGAGCAACGCCGCGUGAGGGAAGAAGGUCUUCGGAUCGUAAACCUUUGUCUUUGGGGAAGAUGAUGACGGUACCCAAGGAGGAAGCCACGGCUAACUACGUGCCAGCAGCCGCGGUAAUACGUAGGUGGCAAGCGUUGUCCGGAAUUACUGGGCGUAAAGGGCGUGUAGGCGGCCUUUUAAGUCAGGCGUGAAAACUGUGGGCUUAACUCACAGACUGCGUUUGAGACUGAGAGGCUUGAGGAUCGGAGAGGGCAGUGGAAUUCCCAGUGUAGCGGUGAAAUGCGUAGAUAUUGGGAAGAACACCAGUGGCGAAGGCGGCUGCCUGGACGACACCUGACGCUGAGGCGCGAAAGCCAGGGGAGCAAACGGGAUUAGAUACCCCGGUAGUCCUGGCUGUAAACGAUGGGUACUAGGUGUGGGAGGUAUCGACCCCUUCCGUGCCGGAGUUAACACAAUAAGUACCCCGCCUGGGGAGUACGGCCGCAAGGGUG